rnacentral:snoRNA from 1 species
ACUAGAGGACUAAGAAGGCUGAUUCUGAUGAAGCAAGAGUCUGCUGAUACACUCCUAAAAAGUGGGGGGGGGGGGGGGGGUUGAAGAAAACAGCCCUUAGUAGAAAAUAUCAGAGGACUGACCAUACUACCCAACAUUC